UGGCUACGUUCUACCAGUUGAAAGCUA
rnacentral:misc_RNA from 1 species